AACGACCUACGGGGGGCAGCAGUGGGGAAUAUUGCACAAUGGGGGAAACCCUGAUGCAGCGACGCCGCGUGAGUGAAGAAGUAUUUCGGUAUGUAAAGCUCUAUCAGCAGGGAAGAAAAUGACUGUACCUGACUAAGAAGCCCCGGCUCACUACGUGCCAGCAGCCGCGGUAAUACGUAGGGGGCAAGCGUUAUCCGGAUUUACUGGGUGUAAAGGGAGCGUAGACGGCGCGGCAAGUCUGAAGUGAAAGGCAGG
rnacentral:rRNA from 1 species